rnacentral:rRNA from 1 species
UGGGGAAUAUUGCACAAUGGGCGAAAGCCUGAUGCAGCGACGCCGCGUGAGGGAUGACGGCCUUCGGGUUGUAAACCUCUUUCAGUAGGGACGAAGCGCAAGUGACGGUACCUGCAGAAGAAGCACCGGCUAACUACGUGCCAGCAGCCGCGGUAAUACGUAGGGUGCGAGCGUUGUCCGGAAUUUCUGGGCGUAAAGAGCUCGUAGGCGGUUUGUCACGUCGUCUGUGAAAUCCUAGGGCUUAACCCUGGACGUGCAGGCGAUACGGGCUGACUUGAGUACUACAGGGGAGACUGGAAUUUCUGGUGUAGCGGUGGAAUGCACAGAUAUCAGGAAGAACACCGAUGGCGAAGGCAGGUCUCUGGGUAGUAACUGACGCUGAGGAGCGAAAGCAUGGGUAGCGAACAGG